UAUCUUUUCUGGAAACCCUUGCUCCUGAUUGGCAGAUACAUAUACAACUACCUAGCCAACAUCCUUAACUUGGAUGUCUGUGAGGCAUCUAAAGUCUAACUUGUGCAGAGAAUUGAAAACUGAUGAAAUACUGGCUUCCUUAUGGUCCUUUCAUCUUUGAAGAAAAUUCUUCUACUGAAACUCGGUCAUCAUGGACGCUAAUCAUAGCCAUAACCAAAAGUCCUUCUUUAAGAAACUUUGGCCAUUAGGCAGCCAAAAUGAUUUGUCAUGCUGAACAGAAGGGAAGGAGUUCUCAGUCCCUGGCUGUGUGGAUGAAGUUACAGUUCAGUGGUGAACACCGUUUUUCCAAGUUCUAGGUUCCACAGAUCCAUGUGCAGCAAUUCACAACCACCUCAUCAGCAGAAGGCUUGAGCUGGACCUUCCUUCAGAAGUGGAAGUGAGCAACUCCACCUGCUCCUGUGACCAGAGUACAGUGAACACAGUGCUGAUGAGAAAAGAUUACCUUGCCACAUGCAAACCUUAGUGCUGAGAGCAAGAUAAAGACAGGACCUGUGCAGAAAACCUGGGCCAACUGCACUUUCAUCAAAUGUCCUGCACACGGGAGUAGCGGUGCUAUGAAAGCUUUGCCUAAAGCCACUCUGUGACACCCAUUCAUGUGCUGUCUCCCAUGUGCUUGAC